UAAUAUAGGUCUACCAGCAUCUGAUGGCAUAAAAAAAGUAAAAAAAAUAUUGAUUUUCCUAUGGUAAUAUUAAACUGUCUCCUGUCAUGUCGAAGUACAUGUUUUGUCAACAAUACUGAGAUUUUCCAAAGAUUCCUUGAAACUAUUCUGAAUUUCAUAAGAAUAUCGAAAAAAACCACUUCGAUCACAAGCAAGAAAGAUUGUUUACAUUGUUUAUUGUAAAAUUAGUGAAGAAGCAGUUGGAGAUCAACCGCAAUCUUCGAUUUUAAAUCGCGUCCAAAGUUGACCGGAGUUCCUAGCACUACCAUACGACGAAUAAUUGCUGAAGGUAGACCGAAUGGAAGUGUAUUUAGUGCACCCGGUAAAAAGAAGAGAGGUGGAAAGAAAACAAAUAACCAGGAGAGUUUUGAUUUGGAAAUAGCAUAAUAUAAGUGAUCUUUUCAUAAAUA
rnacentral:lncRNA from 1 species